UGGGCUGUCGUUCAAUGGCAGGACAGCGGAUUCUGACUCCGUUAAUCAAGGUUCAAGUCCUUGCAGCCCAG
rnacentral:tRNA from 1 species